CAGCCGCCGCGGUAAUACGGAGGGUGCAAGCGUUAAUCGGAAUUACUGGGCGUAAAGCGUGCGUAGGCGGUUUGUUAAGUCUGCUGUGAAAUCCCCGGGCUCAACCUGGGAAUGGCAGUGGAUACUGGCAAGCUAGAGUGUGUCAGAGGAUGGUGGAAUUCCCGGUGUAGCGGUGAAAUGCGUAGAGAUCGGGAGGAACAUCAGUGGCGAAGGCGGCCAUCUGGGACAACACUGGCGCUGAGGCACGAAAGCGUGGGGAGCAAACAGGAUUAGAUACCCGCGUAGUCCCUGUCUCUUAUAC
rnacentral:rRNA from 1 species